UACAGAGGGUGCAAGCGUUAAUCGGAAUGACUGGGCGUAAAGGGUGCGUAGGUGGCGAUAUAAGUUAGUUGUGAAAUCCCCGGGCUUAACCUGGGAACUGCAAUUGAUACUGUAUGGCUAGAGUUUGGUAGAGGAUAGUGGAAUUUCCGGUGUAGCGGUGAAAUGCGUAGAUAUCGGAAGGAACACCAGUGGCGAAGGCGACUAUCUGGCCCAAAACUGACACUGAGGCACGAAAGCGUGGGUAGCGAACAGG
rnacentral:rRNA from 1 species